AGAAAAUUCAUAGAUGUUUCAAUAUUAUAAAAUGAUUUUAUUUUGAUAUAAUAUCUUACGAAUAUGUAUUGAAUGUUUUUUUUGUUAUUGAAUAUAUUUUUUGGUUUAAAUUGAUUAUUAACACAAUAAGAAUUAAAUUAUUUGAAGUUUUGGUCGUUUUUAUGUCCAUUUUAAUUUAUUCAUAUGCAGUAAAUAUAUAUUUUAAAACAUAAAUUUCAUAUAUAUUGGAAUAUUAUUUUAAUAUUUUUUUAAUUGUGAAAAAAAUUCAAAUAAUUUAAUGAAUAAAUACAACAAGUCUUUGGUUGAAAAUAUUGACAAUUAAAUGUGCCAGUAGAACAUGUAAUUAGAUCAGUUGGACCGUAUUUAUUAUUUCAAAUUAGACUAAACCCAACAUUACAAAAAAAAAGUUUUGUUUUUCCGGAAAGAGUUAACGCAUGUACGAUCAGAACCUAACUAAUUAAUAUCUUCCCGUCUUCUCUAUUGAUGUCGGUUCAGUGAAGAUCUCUCAUCUUCUCUCUUUACUUCCACCGAUUUAACAAUCGAAAACAAAAACCAUGAAGAUGAUUCAAAUCUAAACCUCACACUGUUAAAUUCUAAAGAUUGGUGCUAUUUAUACCAAGUCAGAUUUUAUGUGCGAUUCUCAUAAGAAAUCCAAGUGUAUUCAAUCUCCGCUCGGACAUGCAAUUCAAUAUCAGAAGAUUUGAGGAAUUUCAUCUACGCUUUCCGUAUUGACGUAAUACUCAAUAUGAGCUUGAUUGAAUCAAAUUUGACAGACAAAGGUAUGGCUAUCUUUUUAGUGUAAGAUAUGAUAAUCAUUUUAUUUUUAAAACUCUGAUUUUGUAUUGUGUCUCAAGAAUAUAUAUUACUAAUAAGAAACUAUAAUUACGUAUGAUGAAAAUCAUAUGGAAGGAAUUAAGAUAGUGUAACGACCCGAUUCCGGUCUCGGAGUUUGUUACCCGGCUAAGUCAUAUGCAUUUAUCUGAAGGACAUUUAUUUGCCUAUAAAUACCCACCUCCACAUUGGUUUCUCCUCCUACAACAAGAAAAUAAUAAAAUCAGAAGUUAGAGAGGAAAAGGAGUGAGAGAAAGAGAGAAAGAAAGUUGGGAACAACUGCAUGUUGCCACCAGGAGUCCUCGCCGGAACCACCACACGCCAGGAUGUCAUCAAGCUCGUAAUCACCAUCAACCGCAGCUCAAGGUAACCGGAAACUGCCAUGUUUUGAGUUAAGUUUCGUCCAUUUAGUAAUUCGUUGAUAACGUCUUAACCGUUGCAAAUCUCGUGCAUCCAUGGCCAUCAUCGUGUUCCUCUCGACGAGACAAAGCCGUAGCCGCCGACCGCGCCGCAAUCGGAGCUCGGAUGAGCCCGCACGCGCCUCCGAAAGUUUCGCCUCUGCGCGCGCGUGAGGUACACGAGCCGCCGCCGGAAAUCGUCGCCGCCGCCGGUAAGCUCCGCCUUCGCCUCCGGUAAGCUCCGCCGUCGCCGCCGGUGACCGACACCGGUGACUCGGUCAACUCGUCCGAGUCAACUCAGCGAGUCAACUCUGACUCGGUAAACCGGUGGAUUGACUGGUUUGACCGGUUUAAAUUGAUUUCGAUUCGGUUAGGGUAAACCGGUCGGUUUAGUCAAAUCGAUUUCUGGUCAAAGCUUGACCGGGUUGACUUUUCCGCAAACUUUGACCAGUUCCGUUUUCGAUCGUUCGAAAGGCGUUCUGACUCGAAAUUUCGAUCUGAUUUCAGAUUUGGAGUCCAUUUGAGCAGCUGGAGUUCAUAGAUACCACUUCUUAUUAUUGCUAAGGUGAGGUUCUAUUCCCAAACUUCUCGUACACGGCUUAGGACCUCGAAUAAAUAUAAUUUAUUUCUAAUGUGUUCCGUCUGUGUGAAAUUGAGUCUGUCAUUGCUUGUUUAGUUUUUAGGUUCUUUGCAUACACCGGAACUAGGGUGUUAGAGGAUUCAACAUUGAUUGUUUCACUUAAUGUAAAUUCUUAGGUAAGACUUUUUUUUUGCCGGGUACAGAGACGGACUUCUGUAUGCCGGAUUGUAUGGGGGUUAUGGCCAACUUUAGUCGACCGGUUGAGCUGUAGCCUGGUGUGUGUCGAUAAAUCGUCUACGGGCGGUGUCCGAGCACUAUCUCGAGAUGUGUUAUGUUUUGGCCUGUUAGUGGGCGGCGAGUGUGCACCUCGCUAGGACCAUUGUUUGUUGUUUGGGUACUUUAGGUACUGUGUUUGACAUGCAUUAGAAUUAAAUUAUAUUUAUUCGGAGUGCUAUGUCCGGGUCCAUGGACUUCGGGGUGGCAUCCCAUACCUCACUGGGCGAUUCCUCUGUCGCUCACCCCUCACUCUUCCCCAUUUCAGGUGAGACAAACAAGUAUGUGAUAUUUGGACGGACUUGGUGCUACUGGACUUUUCUUUCGGAUUUUAUUUGGGCAUGGGUGAGAGUUGUUGGGUUUAUGGACUUUUAUAUUACGGGAUAUUGUUGGUGGCCCGUCGUCCUUAGGGUCAGGGAGACGGGUGUCACAUUGUUGUAUGAUGACGCGUCGGGGGUGACACGCUGUCCUCCAUAUAGGAGGUGACGGGUGUCUCAAUUUGGUAUCAGAGUGGGUUCCAUUCCGGUUCUGUCCCGGGAUGACGGUCAGGGGAUUCGGUUUUCAUCGGUUUUCAACGUUCUUUUUGUUUAAAAAAAAUAAAAAAAUAAAAAAAAAUAUUUAUUUAUAUAUUUGGAAAUUCUUUUAGCACCAUUAUGUCCAGUAAUUACUAACUCAAAUGUCUCUUUCUAUGACGAUGAGCAAAAUCAUCGUCAUUCGUCCUUCGACUAUCAGAGUUCUCGCCAGAUGUUCAGCAGUUGGGUGAUGUCCAAGUUUGUCAGUUUUCUCAAGAGUUAUCAGUUCUUCGGUCAUUAUUUUGAGGUUAUCCAGGAGUGGAUAUGUGACGUUUCUGCCACCAGCCCACUUCAAGCAAUCGUUCCACGAGUUUUGUUACUGGAGAUUAUGUGGUGUGUGGUAUGAGCCAUUGGUUGGCAUGUGUUGUUGUGUGUACGAGUAUAUUGACUAUUUUGGAGGUAUAUUUGUUUUGUGAACUCGUGGAGAUCGCUUUUGAAUUGGGUUGCAGCAGCUUGCGUUGUGUGGAUGUUGGAGUUACACUUUGGUAUGUUUACCAAUUUUUGCAGUGUUGAUCGUUUCAGAGAUGUGUCGGUUUGGACAAUUGAUAUAGGACAUUGGGAGCUAUUUAUAUCCAUCGCAGUGUACCAAUUAUGCUUGGAGGACCGAUUUGUUCGGAGACUCGUCAGGGAUGGAGCUACGUUUUUACGAUGUCAUCCUUGGGAUGGAUUGGCUGUCACGGUAUCGAGUAGUGUUGGAUUUCCUGAGGGCAAGAGUUCCUAUUGCUGGAGCAGGUGGAAGUUUUUAUUGCAUGCAUGCUACAUACUGAGGAGUUAUGGGAUACAAGGACAGAGAGAUUUUUGACUACCAUCUCGAUGGUUAAGGCUGAUGGACAACAUGAGCUGCAGGAUCUUCCGGUUAUUGCAGAGUAUGAGGAUAUAUUUGUGACCUUUGGAACGGUCACCACAUGACACAUGAGAAACUCUUGUGAUUUGUUUGGAGCAAACAGCACCAGUUUCACAAGUUUUAUACCGAUUAGCACCAGCAGAGAUGACAAAGCUGAAAGAGCAUGUUGAAGAUUCAUCAGACAAGGGUUUUAUCAGACCGGGUACUUUACCGUGGGGAACAUCAUCAUUGUUGUUGUAAAGAAGAAAGGUGGGAGUUUCAAUUUUGUAUCGACUACAAAGGUCUGAACAAAGUGACCAUUAAAGAUAAGUAUCGCUUCCGCGCGUUGAUGAAUUAUUGGAUUAUUUACAGGAAGUUUAUAGUUCUUGAAGGUUGACUUAGCAUCAGAACACCAUCAGAUUACUAUAUUUGAAGAGUAUCUACUAAAUGUGAAUUUUUGUAUACAUUAUGGAUAUUAUGGGACGCAGUGAUACCAUUUGGCUCGAUAAAUGCACUGUUUCAUUCAUGAAGAUAUGAAUGACGUUUUCGUGAACAUUUGGAUAGGUGUGCGAUUGUAUUCAUCGAUGACAUCCUGAUUUAUUUUGGAGUAGAAAGGAGAUUUGUGAGCAUUUUGCGGAUGGUGUUGGAUAAGCUUGGAGAGCAUCAGCUGUUUGCUAAGUUGAGGAAGUGUAGCUUCUGGCAGAGGAAUGUUGGAUUUUUGGGUAACAUGGUUUUGGAAGCAGAAUUUUGAUAGAUCCAAAGAAGAUUAAUACCGUUUCGGGGAGGUCGAAACCUAAGAGCGCUACAGAGUGUACUACUGGAAGUUCAUCAAGGGUUUCACCGUUAUAGUAAUGUUGAAGACGUGGUCUACAUGUAAAGACAUUGAGUGUGGUUAGAUAGAUUUUUGUUCGUGGAGUUUCACUGAAUUGACGCACAACUAAUGAAGACACCAGUUUUUGUUCUACCGAGGCUGAGGCUUACUCUGAUGUGUCAGAUACUGGCUUGAAUUUAAAAUGAGGUAAGAGGAUUAAGUCAUUCAUAUGCAUCACGCCAGAGAGGCUGUAGUCGUAUUUGCGUUAUAGUUUUGGAGAUCGUAGUUGUACGGGAAGGAAGUCCAGAUUCUAUGGGAUCAUUAGAGUCAGACAUUUAUCUGCACUCCUUAAAAAUUGCAUUUGGGCAAUGCAGUCGGAUUGAGCUGGUAGCAGACUACAGUUUGGAUAUCGCAUACCAUCUCGGAAGGACAACCAGGUGACAGAUGCCUUGGGUAGGAACAUGAGCGACAUAUCGAGAACCAAAAAGAUUUAAGAGCUUAUUGGGAGACUUGCUAGUCUCAGAUUGUGUGCGGUUACUGUCAAAGGAAAGACAUAUGGCCUUGAGGAUUGGAGCAGGCAGUUUUGCUAUGGAGGAUACGCCAUGCGCAGGUUAGCGUUAUGGUUUUGGUUGAAUAGAUCGAGAUUGAGAGUAUUGGAUAUCAUACAGUUUCGAGCAGGGUGUAACUGUACUGAAACCGAGUUUGUGUAUUGGACGAUAAGUUGUUAAGAAACGGGAUCUUAAAGUAAACACAUCACUCGCGUUUCUCUAUCUACCCGGGAAACACCAAGAGGUUCAAAAAUAAUAAAGUGUUUAUAUAAUUGGCCUAGUAUGAAAAAGAUUGUAGCCACAUUGCGUCGCAAGGACAUAUAAGUCAGAUGGUUUUGCAUGAGGAUCAGAUACCUUUCAGGUUAUUGUUGAGCUUGCUUUUGCCGGAGUGGAAAUGCGACAUGGUGAUUAUGGAUGUUGUUACUGGAUUUUAAAUCGCCAUAUGUGGAAAAGAUGCCACAUGGGUAGUCAUGGAUACACUUACCAAGUCAGUCCAUUUCCUAAAGUAAUGUAGAAGGCAGAGAUAGCUGAUCAGUUGGCGAAGAUUUACAUCAGCGUGAUUUUGAGGUUGCAUGGAGCUCUUGUUAGCAUUUUAUCAUAUUGCGAUUCAAAAUUCACGUAUACAUUUUGGAUUCAUUCAGAAGGCGUUUGGGACAAGGAUCCAUAGAAAUACAACUUAUUAUUAGCAUACAAAUGGUCAGUCAUAGAGGACUACUCAGAACUUAAAUGAUAUGUUCAGGGAUUGCGUCUUCCAAUGGGAUGGAAGUUCAGAAAGCAUCUACCUCUAAUAGUGUUUGCCUAUAUCGACAGUUAUCAUUCAAGCAAUGAGAUGGACCGUAUGAGGCUGUUUAUGGUAGGCCUUAUCAUAUACUACCUUGUUGGACCAAAGUGGGGUAGCGACGUGAAUUAGAACCAUCAAUGGUUCAAGAGACGGUAGAUCAAAGUAGAUCAAAUGGACAUGCUUAAAGUUUGGCUUUAGGAAGCCAAUAAUCGCCAGGGGACUAAUGCAGCUAAACGUCAUAAGGAUUUGGAGUUUCAGGUAGGCGAUCGAGCAUACCUGAAAAUAAGGACAUUUCAGGGAGGAUCUAAGAUUUGAAAGCUAAAGAAGCUUACUCAGAGAUAUAUGGGACUAUAUUCUAUUUUGGAGCAGAUUGGAGCAGUUGCUUAUCGUUUGGAUUUAUCAGCAGAGCUGUCAUACUUCCACCGUGACAGUUUUGAGAAAGCUCGUGAGAGAGCUAGAGCUCAUUUUACAGCAGCCGCCAAUCUACCUUGGCAAGGAUUUGUGUGCAUCGUGUCUGCCAGUAAAGAUAUUGGAUCACCAAGUGGAAGUGAAGCAGGGUAUGAUGACCAUGUGGGUCAAAGUUCGUACGGAGAGAGAUGAGAUUCAUGAAGAGGCUUCAGAGACCAAGCAGAUGGAUUAUUCAGAGUUUUGUUGCGUGUUGAUUGGCAGUCAUGGGAUGACUCGAAUUCGGGGACGAAUUCUUUAUUAGUGGGGGAGAAUUGUAACGACCUGAUUCCGGUCUCGGAGUUUGUUACCCGGCUAAGUCAUAUGCAUUUAUCUGAAGGACAUUUAUUUGCCUAUAAAUACCCACCUCCACAUUGGUUUCUCCUCCUACAACAAGAAAAUAAUAAAAUCAGAAGUUAGAGAGAAAAAGGAGUGAGAGAAAGAGAGAAAGAAAGAUGGGAAAAGCUGCAUGUUGCCACCAGGAGUCCUCGCCGGAACCACCACACGCCAGGACGUCAUCAAGCUCGUCAUCACCAUCAACCGCAGCUCAAGGCCAUCAUCGUGUUCCUCUCGACGAGACGAAGCCGUAGCCGCCGACCGCGCCGCAAUCGAAGCCCGGAUGAGCCCGCACGCGCCUCCGGAAGUUUCGCCUCUGCGCGCGCGUGAGGUACACGCGCCGCCGCCGGAAAUCGUCGCCACCGCCUUCGCCGCCGGUAAGCUCCGCCUUCGCCGCCGGUAAGCUCCGCCGUCGCCGCCGGUGACCGCACCGGUGGCUCGGUCAACUCGUCCGAGUCAAUUCAUCGAGUCAACUCUGACUCGGUAAACCGGUGGAUUGACUGGUUUGACCGGUUUAAAUUGAUUUCGGUUCGGUUAGGGUAAACCGGUCGGUUUAGUCAAAUCGAUUUCUGGUCAAAGCUUGACCGGGUUGACUUUUCCGCAAACCUUGACCAGUUCCGUUUUCGAUCGUUCGAAAGGCGUUCUGACUCGAAAUUUCGAUCUGAUUUCAGAUUUUGAGUCCAUUUGAGCAGCUGGAGUUCAUAGAUACCACUUCUUAUUAUUUCUAAGGUGAGUAUCUAUUCCCGAACUUCUCGUACACGGCUUAGGACCUCGAAUAAACAUAAUUUAUUUCUAAUGUGUUCCGUCUGUGUGAAAUCGAGUCUGUCAUUGCUUGUUUAGUUUUUAGGUUCUUUGCAUAAACCGGAACUAGGGUGUUAGAGGAUUCAACAUUGAUUGUUUCACUUAAUGUAAAUUCUAGCUAAGACUUUUUUUUGCCGGGUACAGAGACGGGCUUCUUUAUGCCGGAUUGUAUGGGGGUUACGGUCAACUUUAGUCGACCGGUUGAGCUGUAGCCUGGUGUGUGUCGAUAAAUCGUCUACGGGCGGUGUCCGAGCACUAUCUCGAGCUGUGUUAUGUUUUGGCCUGUUAGUGGGCAGCGAGUGUGCACCUCGCUAGGACCAUUGUUUGUUGUUUGGGUACUUUAGGUACUGUGUUUGACAUGCAUUAGAAUUAAAUUAUAUUUAUUCGGAGUGCUAUGUCCGAGUCCAUGGAUUCGGGGUGGCAUCCCAUACCUCACUGGGCGAUUCCCCUGUCGCUCACCCCUCACUCUUCCCCAUUUCAGGUGAGACAAACAAGUAUGUGAUAUUUGGACGGACUUGGUGCUAUUGGACUUUUCUUUCGGAUUUUAUUUGGGCAUGGGUGAGAGUUGUUGGGUUUAUGGGCUUUUAUAUUACGGGAUAUUGUUGGUGGCCCGUCGUCCUUAAGGUCAGGGAGACGGGUGUCACAUUGUUGUAUGAUGACGCGUCGGGGGUGAUACGCUGUCCUCCAUAUAGGAGGUGACGGGUGUCUCAGAUAGAAACAUUGCGUUAUUUAUAGUCGUUUGUGGCUUUAGCUGGACUUGAUUAUUGUAGUAGACUUGUAUGUGAUUACCUCUUUUAUGUAGUGAUCGUCUUUUAUUUUGCAGAUCAACUGUUUUCUUCUGAUGCACGCUGUGUAAAAAAAAAAAAGUGCUCUUUUAGAGGAAGAGUUGGAAAACGAAUUUGAAGAUGAAAUCGACAGUAUUUUCGCCAUCAUAUACCUGAAACAGAGCACGGAGAAAUAGCUGAAAAGGUUUUGCCUGCAAGGAUGCCCUUUGAGAGUUUCUCCUGCAUAGCUGGUAUUUUGCUUCCAUGAAUGGAGUAAUUUCACACGAACUCCCCGACCGUUCUUAAGAGGUUUGACAUCCUUAAGAAGAGACAGACUUUUUGCAUUACAUUUUUUCUGUGAACUGUGAAUGUGUAGAAGGUAAAAGUCAGAGUAGAUAUAUAUGGAUCUUAGAAUCUAGGUUAAGAGGCUAUAUAUGGCGAGAUUAGAACCAGAAUGGUAUAUCAUAAUAUUCCAUUUUAAACAAAAUCGUAUCAACCCGAAUAUAUUCUCUACUCAACCGCUUGUUAUUGUUAAAACUGAACCGCAUAAUAUGGAUAUAGGUCUUUAAUGAUUAGAUCUUAUAGGUGAUCUGAAAGAUUUGAAACUAAAUAAGAUUCUUGUAAUUGUACAGUUAAAUAAUAAGGUAAACGUGUCGGUUUAGAAAAAAAAAGAAGCAAAAAACGUUGUGUUUAAUGUCAGUGGCAUAAAGUGGUAAUUAUUGAGCAAAACUCUGGGCUAAGUACAAAAUGUACUUCUGUUUUAAUAGUUUAGAUUGUAGAGUUUUGAUUGAGUAUGUCUUUCUAAACCAUAACAACAUAUGGUCAGAAACUCGUAGUCCCAUUUCUAUGACUUCCUAUCAACAAGUUUGGCUACUACCAAACCAACAUCUAUUUAUGCAUUCUCCAAUUCUAUGACUGAAAAGCUAACAUAAAACUUAUAUCCAUGUAAAAGAUAAUCUGUAACAUUAAGUGUGUGUAGAUUUUAAAAACAAACCCCAUCAGAAUGUAGUAAGCUAGAUAAGGCCAUACUUUUAUGCUUCUUAUUUUCACUAUCUAGUGUCAUUUAUAAGUUUUCUCAUGGUUACACAGCCUACACGUCAAGCUUCUCGUUAGUCUUUCAAUAUCCAACCUCUCAGCUUUCAUUUUUCCCCUCCUCCCUUUUUCCCUUAUGUUCGUCAAUGCUUUUUAGAGUUUUUGUAUUAUAGUCAUGUGAAUCAUUCUUCAUAAUAAUCAAUCAUCGAUUUGUAGAAUGCUGAAGCUUGCAUUCCCACUAUCAUUCAUGCAAGAACAUAGAUAUUUCACAGACAUAAGCUUUGAAAAAGCACUAUAAAUUGAUAAUUAAUCUAGCAUAAAAUUAGGAGAAAUACUUGCAACCAUUUUGAGGUGAAGCCACAAUAUUUUUUCAUGACUGCAUAUUCAAUUUGAUCAAAACUUACAUUUUGAGCAUUCUUCCCGAGCAAUCAAAUCUUUUGAGAUAGCUUUUGUUAGUGGUUAAGGCUAAUAGAGUGUGUAAAUAAAUUCAGUACUCCUUUGACCCCAAAUCGACAAUUACAAAAUUUUAAUCCGAUGCAAUUCUUUCAUAUUACAAUGUGUAUUUUCCCCCAUAUAUAUGUCUUUUUCAACUCUAUAUUUGUCAUCCUUAUUAAUGAUAGCAAGUUGUUAGCUGAUAUGCUCAAAUUACCCUAGAAAAACUCUCUCAAAUAAAUGAUCAAUUUCAGUACUUAAGGAUCAAAUCCACAGAGUUUCUAUCUUUCACACACUAGACUUGAGUUUCAGAUUAAGCUAAGUAAAAAAUGUAAAGCAGUAAAUCAAAGCAAUAAUUAGAUAGAGGAGUUGUAAAACAUAUGGGAAAGGGUCCUAGACUUAAGGUUUCAUUCAGGUUAUUAGAACUCAAAUCUAUAGAUACUAAGGGUUUUAUCCUAGAACUCGAAUUCAAUAAGUAAGAUAUUCAGCUUUUGCUGUGAGUCUAAUCAGAUGUCUAAAUCCUAGAAUUGAAUGUGAAUUCUGGAAGAGUGUUGAUCGAUACUACAGAGUGUCGAUCGAUACCUCUUAUAGACAAGUUUUAAUAUGUAGAUCGAUUUGUUCACUACAUUAAUUAAACCAGCUCUCGCAUGCACCUAACAACCUAGCUCAGUAAGAUUCAGUUCAUGCAAUUGACCAGCUCUCGCAUGCGCCUAACUAUCCUAUGAUCAAGUUUCUCGUUAAUUGCUCUAGAAAAAAAACAAUUAGAAAUCCUGUGAAGGAUACAAUAAAUCACCCUAGCAAUUUAUAUUCAGAAGUUUAUUUAAAACCCUAGAAAAUCCCUAAACCUAACAAUGGAUCUACCAAUACAUGAUAGAUGAAACAUAAAUGAUAGAUGGAUAAAUAUAAUAUAAAUCAAUAGAAAACCAAAGGAGUUUCAAGAGGAAUAUAAAAGAGUUCAUCUCUUCUCUCCUAACCUAAAACCUAAGAAUAAUAUAAAGCUUAGCCGUCUGGCAUAGAAAACAUAUAUAGGGUUAUGUCACGUCCUAGGGUCUUCUGUAAAUAAGGAAAACUUUGAGGCAAAGUUGCUUUUUUUGAAACUUCAUUAAAAUACGUCAGUUUGAUGAUUUGGAGGAGUGUCGAUCGCAACCAGUGUGGCUUUGGUCGACACUUGUUAAUUCUCGACAGCUUCCUCUCGUGAGUCAGACGGACCACUUUUCAGUAAAACAAUCAUAAUGUUUUCUCUAAGAUCCUGAUUAACCUCAGACCAGUGGCAUUAGAAAUUGAACUCUAGGUUCUAUCUUGUGUCAAAAUAUGAGCUCAAUUUAACCGUUGGAAGGCUUCCAUCCAUAGCUAAACUUCGGACGCAUCUACACAACUCUGCAUCUCAAAACGCUUCAAAAUCUCCAAAGUUCUCUAAAACGUACAUGAACCUAAAAAAAACUUUAAAACAGACUUCAAACACAUAUAAUAUAGACUCUAAAAGGACUUGUACCAUGUUCUAAAAGUGGUAAAAAACCCAUUGUAUAUAAACUUCCACAGACUUCUCAAGCAAAUCACAGAAUAGUCAUGUGAGGUUUGAAAACGCAGACUUUCGUUUUUGUAUUGUUUUUCUUUAAAAGCUUCGUCUUUUGGUAAUUGCUAGAAGACUUUCGUUUCGUAUUGUUCUAUGGUGUUUUCGGCGAAUGCUAAUUUUGCCUUUUCGUUUCGACUGAGUUUGUGUUUCUGUCGCAAGCAAAGUAAAUUUGUUACUCUUUCUAAUUACCCCAUGUUGUUUCAAUUCCCGAAGACAUUGGGGAUUUCAAGCAUAGGUGCUAUGUCGAUUGAACGAAUCUCUUGGAGUUUUUACACAGAGUUUCUAUGCUUACGUUUUAUGAGUCAAUGGUUACAAAGUUGCACCCUAUACAAAUGUUUUCUUGGCAAAAAAGAGAAGAAAGAAAAACAAGAAAAUCAUUUGAGAUAAAGAGCACAUGGGUAUUUAAGUUGACUUCAGAUCGGUCAUAUAGCCAUACGAUUUGGAUCCAUCUUCUACUCCUCACACUACAAGAAUUGAUCAAAUUAGCUAAGGACGAGUGACAACAUUU